UACGUAGGCAGCGAGCGUUGUUCGGAGUUACUGGGCGUAAAGGGUGUGUAGGCGGUUCUUUAAGUUUGGUGUGAAAUCUCCCGGCUCAACCGGGAGGGUGCGCCGAAUACUGAGGGACUCGAGUGCGGGAGAGGAAAGUGGAAUUCCUGGUGUAGCGGUGAAAUGCGUAGAUAUGCGGAGGAACACCGGUGGCGAAGGCGGCGUUCUGGACUGCAACUGACACUGUAAAACGAAAGCCAGGGGAGCAAACGGG
rnacentral:rRNA from 1 species